AAUGAACGUUGGCGGCGUGGAUUAGGCAUGCAAGUCGUGCGAGAAGCUCCAGCUUGCUAGAGUGGACAGCGGCGAAAGGGAGAGUAAUACGUAGAAAUCUGCCCUCAGGACCGGGAUAGCGUUGGGAAACUGGCGGUAAUACCGGAUAACGUCUUCGGACCAAAAGUGUGAUUCUGCCUGAGGAUGAGUCUACGACCUAUUAGCUAGUUGGCGGGGUAAUGGCCCACCAAGGCGACGAUGGGUAGCGGGUGUGAGAGCAUGGCCCGCCUCACUGGGACUGAGACACUGCCCAGACAUCUACGGAUGGCUGCAGUCGAGAAUCUUUGUCAAUGGACGAAAGUCUGAACAAGCGACGCCGCGUGCGGGAUGAAGGCCCUCGGGUUGUAAACCGCUGUCGUAAGGGAGCAAAUCUAUUGGGGUUCUCCCCUUUAGUUGAGCAAUCUUAGGAGGAAGGACGGGCUAAGUUCGUG
rnacentral:rRNA from 1 species